AUGUAUACCAAUCAGUACCCUGAGCCUAAGGAUUGUCAUUUGACUUUGACAAAAAUGGCGCUCACCGCUCACGAUGAGAAAAUUUUAUCAAGGAGCGUAUCUCAAAUGAGUGUCAGCAUCCCAACGCCUUCAACUAUCAACAACAGAACUGCAUCAGCUCUGCCGUCCGGUGCACAUCUUCGAAGUGCUGGUAGGGGGAAGGUCAUGAAGCUAUACAUCUCCACCCUCCUCCAGGAAAGCUGUGGCAGUGCGCUCGAUGAUGUGAAUGAGGACUGCUCUUCAGAGGCUCCUCCCCAUCUCUUGUUAUUCGCAAUGUGUACGAUGUUUAUGUGUAUUUAAUGAAGAGACUCGGUGAAAUAAUCCACCAGUGCAACCAAUUAAAAGUCGUAAUAAUUUUGCACAAGUUCCAUAAGUUGGUUUGUCGCCUCCAGAGAAAUCGCCGCUGAUGAUUCAAUCGCUGAAAUCCAAGAUUUUGCAAGGAUCGCACCCAGCUCCAUGAUUUAACUUCAACUCUAAUCUCGCGCUUAAGUAAGUAGAUAAAUGGUUCCAAUAAAAUC
rnacentral:lncRNA from 1 species